rnacentral:lncRNA from 1 species
GCGAUAGCGCCUAGUGCGAGUGGUUUUGAGGAUUGCGAGGAAGAGCAUCCAAAGCUAGAUUCUUGUAGUGAUUAUGUUAUGGAUCGGUGUGUGAUGAAGGAUAUGCCGCUCUCUUGGAUCUUUCCUCGGACUUGGGGGAAGAGAAGUUGUGAGGAGGUCCGAAACCAGUGUUGUCAGCAAUUGAGACAAACGACGCCGCGUUGCCGCUGCAAGGCUAUUUGGACAUCAAUCCAAGGUGAUCUAAGUGGCUUCAAGGGCGUUCAACAAGGUUUGAAAGCCAGAACGGUGCAGACGGCGAAGAGCCUUCCCUCCAAGUGCAACAUUGAUCCAAAAUACUGCAACAUCCCCAUCACUAGCGGAUAUUACUGGUGAUGUAGCUUCCAUUAGUGACCAAUAAACUAUCACAUACCACUGUAUGUGACCAAUAAAUGUGACCAUGGAAUAAUAUAUACUAUAGUUUCCCUUAUGUAUGUAUGUGUUUCUCUUACAAACAUCUAAUUAUGCAUGUGUCUAUCAAGAAAAUAAUGUUAAUUGUGCCAAUACAAAAGGAAUGUGUGGAAGUGCAUAUAGGCCUCUGUGUUUUGGUAUAGAUGGC